GAACGAUGACGGCCGUGCUUGCACGGUCUGAUUAGUGGCGAACGGGUGAGUAACACGUGAGUAACCUGCCCUCCACUUCGGGAUAACCUCGGGAAAUCGUGGCUAAUACCGGAUAUGAGCACUCAUCGCAUGGUGGGUGUUGGAAAGAUUUAUCGGUGGGGGAUGGACUCGCGGCCUAUCAGUUUGUUGGUGAGGUGAUGGCUCACCAAGACGAUGACGGGUAGCCGGCCUGAGAGGGCGACCGGCCACACUGGGACUGAGACACGGCCCAGACUCCUACGGGAGGCAGCAGUGGGGAAUAUUGCACAAUGGGCGGAAGCCUGAUGCAGCGACGCCGCGUGAGGGAUGACGGCCUUCGGGUUGUAAACCUCUUUCAGUAGGGAAGAAGCGAAAGUGACGGUACCUGCAGAAGAAGCGCCGGCUAACUACGUGCCAGCAGCCGCGGUAAUACGUAGGGCGCGAGCGUUGUCCGGAAUUAUUGGGCGUAAAGAGCUUGUAGGUGGCUUGUCGCGUCUGCCGUGAAAACCCGAGGCUCAACCUCGGGCGUGCGGUGGGUACGGGCAGGCUAGAGUGUGGUAGGGGA
rnacentral:rRNA from 1 species